GAGGCCUUGGCCAGUUUUGACCUGCGUGGCUCACACGGCCUUUCCCGUGACCCCAUGCCACUCAGAGACGAGGAGAACGGGUAUCGAUCUUCUGGACGGCACGGUGACGGAUUCCGUGGAGGCCACAUCUCUGACCUUCAACAAUGACUUCAUUGAUGUGUACGUGUGCUGCUGAGGCACGCGGGACGACGGACAGGAAAUGGCCGGGGACACUCACACAGAAAGCACUGAGGCUGGGCAAGGGGCAAGGUGACAGUGUCCAAUCUAGGGGACGGUUGUGUCACCGACUUUGCGGGGACAUCCAGUGCUGCACCCAUCCCGGCUGGGAUUCUGGCCCUUGUCUUGGAGAACAACCUCCUCCUGUAGGCUGGACACUCCGUCCUUGUGGCUCUCCCCCUUCUCCCCCUCCCCACCCCAUCCUCCCCACUCUCCCCCUGCCCAGACCCUGUGUGUGUGAUAAAUUAUUCGUGGGCAUGCUCCGAGGGCCCAGGGCUGCUCAUUCCUACACACAGAGGGGCCGCAUUGAUCCGGCCUGUGGUUCAACUUAAUUGGAAACACAGUUAUACCUACUAGCUAGAGACACACUCGAAAACAUAUACACACACACUCACUCAGAACAAACACACACACAUAUGCAUACGCACAAGUAUACCCAGCACCAGCAACAUACUCCAGCAUGUACACACAGAUUCACACGAAACAUCUUCCCCUAUUAGCGGGCUAAAAAUAAACACAGAACAUUCGCUUGGAAAUAACUCUUACAGAUAUCAAACACUCACAGCUCCUAUACUCGCCAGCAUGCACACAUGCACACACAGACACACACGUAAACACACACACGUGCAGGCGCAUGCCUGCACACACUCACCACGCGCGAGUACACACACACACACACACACACACACACACACACACACACACACACACACACACACACACACACACAGAGAUGCACGCACACACACCCUACACUCGACUACAAUCGAGAGCAUCCUGGCGGGCUGUAUCACCGCCUGGUACGGCAACUGCUCCGCCCACAACCGUAAGGCUCUCCAGAGGGUAGUGAGGUCUGCACAACGCAUCACCGGGG
ensembl:lncRNA